UUUUUUUGUUUUGUUAAAUUGUUGCAUUAAUUUAAAGAUCUAUUAAGAUUACGCAUCAAAAAGAGUUUAUGGAGAAAAUGUUGUUUUAAAGUAGGCCCCGGAAAUCGGUGGCUUUGAAGCCAAAAUAUUAAAAUAAAUAGAAGGUGGGGAAUACAGUAUAACUAUCCAGCUACUGUUAUCAAAAUAAUUACGUGGCAAGAAGAUCAAUGUACACAUAGCCCAUUCUAAUUUUUCCACUUACGAUAUAGUAUUUGAAAUUGUAAUAAGAGAAAGCCACUAAAAUAAAAAGUCCUAAUUGUAAAUUAGAGCCCAACCCAUUAAAGAGUUAAACGAAGAUGAAGGAUGAUUUUGCUGAUUUCGAUUCUUUCCCCAUCGUAUAUCCAAGCCUCCACCAUCUUCUGUGAUACAUCUGCCAAUAAGCCGGAUCUCAGUUCGUGGUGUUCCCAAAGGGGUUUAACGGCAUGUAUCCUCUUGGAGCAAGCUUUGAAAUUCUCGAUUGAUGCUCGAAUGGCUAAGUAUCAACAUCUGCCAAUGAAAUUCCUGGAUCAGAACCUAGACUCACCAUGCGAUUUUGUAAGGCCGCACAUCGCUUAGAUAUGCAAAUUAAACAACCAUGGAGACAUUAUACAGUUUUUUUGCUGUAUGUAAAAGGAAAGUCUCAAAUAAGGAAGGAUCUGAUUCAAAAUAAUUCGGGUCAAAAUAGGAAGGAUCUGAUUAAUGCGGGACCUUUAGACAUUGUUAGGAUUUGGUUGUUUAGGGAAGUUGCAUAUAUAGUGAAAGAUAAUAUAUUGCCGAAAUCUUUGCA